GGGGUUGUGGCUUAAUGGUAGAGCGCUUGCCUAGCACGUGUAAGGCACUGGGUUCAAGUCUCAGCAGCACUA
rnacentral:tRNA from 1 species